rnacentral:tRNA from 1 species
UGUCUCGUAGCUCAGCGGUAGAGCAGUGCCCUGAUACGGCACCGGGCGGAGGUUCGAUCCCUCCCGAGACAA